rnacentral:lncRNA from 1 species
ACGCAAUCAGCUUAGCCGCCGAAGAUCAAAUUGCAAUCCCAAUAAGAAAUAUACAAACUAAGAGAAGCAUAACAAGACAAGCAAUUAAUGCAAUAUCAUCUUCUUCGUUUUGCAAUUAUAACCAAAUACAACUACUCUUAAUGAAAUGAUAUUCCAUAAAUUUAUUUCCAACUUCAACAAAUACAAAUUCUACAUUUAUUUUUUCAUAGUGCAAUUAAAAAGAAAAAUCAUUUUGCAGGUUUCAACAUCAUCUGAGCUGACCAACUCCACUUCAUCUAAUAAUUAACGCAUUAUAUAGGAUAAGAAGAUUAUUAAUAUUAAAGAAAAUACUAUAGAUAAAUAGAUAGAUACCUUAAAAAUCCAAUUUCUCCACAAAGAGACAAAAUAUAUAGUUGAAUUCCUUGCCAACUCAUAGUCUACACAUUUUUUUGUUUUGUAAGAACAUAGAACUAGGACCUAUAUAGCAAACAAAAGAGAAAAACUUGCAUUAAUCCAUCCUUAUCCUAUCGAGAAAGAAAAAGGACCAAACAAUUAUCAUCAAACAUCCCACGUGGUUGGUUCAUGGACAUGGGGCAUGUCAUUUGUCAUGACCUUCUAAAUAAUAAUGGCAAAUAAGGAAAGUGCAUCAAAGUUUUUCACUGAC